rnacentral:tRNA from 1 species
GACGAUGUGGCUCAGUUGGUAGAGCAUUGCACUUGCAAUGCUAGGGUUGUGGGUUUGAUUCCUCAAGGACA